AGAGGUGGCAAGCGUUGUUCGGAAUUACUGGGCGUAAAGGGCGCGUAGGCGGCCUUGUAAGUCCUGUGUGAAAUCCCCCGGCUCAACUGGGGAACUGCACAGGAGACUGCUUGGCUUGAGUUCGGGAGAGGGAAGCGGAAUUCCGGGUGUAGCGGUGAAAUGCGUAGAUAUCCGGAGGAACACCGGUGGCGAAGGCGGCUUCCUGGACCGACACUGACGCUGAGGCGCGAAAGCCAGGGGAGCAAACGGGAUUAGAUACCCCGGUAGUCCUGGCUGUAAACGAUGAGCGCUGGGUGUAGGGGGUAUUGACCCCCCCUGUGCCGAAGCUAACGCAUUAAGCGCUCCGCCUGGGGAGUACGGUCGCAAGGCUG
rnacentral:rRNA from 1 species